GGGAUAACAGGCUAGUUCCGCCCAAGCGUUCAUAGCGACGGCGGAGUUCGGCACCUCGAUGUCGGCUCACCACAUCCCGGAGCUGGAGAAGGUUCCAAGGGUUUGGCUGUUCGCCAAUUAAAGUGGUACGCGAGCUGGGUUCAGACCGUUCAGGGGACUGCAGUCCUUUGAACAGUCUGAAUCCGAUCGAAGGGAAGUGUUGUCUGAAGUCAUAAAAGGUUUUUUCGUCGAAAAAAAGAAAGAGUAGACAGAGCCAAUCACGGCGGUCGCACGCAGGAAUGCGUGCGAAGAAUUCGACUGAUAUCGGUGGAACCCCGCACGGCGGGGCAAUACCGAGGGAAGCGUACGCAGCAGCACCCGUAUGAGUACAUACGGCUUGCUCUCUCGACGAAAGAGAAAAUGAACAAGCUCAUUUUGCUCUUUCCGUCUCGUUCGCACCCGUAGAGACUGAAUGUCGAAUACCCAGAACGGGUAAAGUUACAGUCCAAUGCACUCAGUAAUGAGUGAGAUACAUGCGUGAGACAGGUUGGUCUCCUAUCUACUAUGAGCGUUGAUUCUUGAGGAGAGUCGUCCUUAGUACGAGAGGACCGGGAUGAACUGACCUCUGGUCUACCUGUUGUCGCGCCAGCGGCACUGCAGGGUAGCUAUGUCGGGACGGGAUAACCGCUGAAAGCAUCUAAGCGGGAAGCCCACUCCAAGAUUAGGAAUCGUUGAGGCCCGUGAGAGAUGAUCACGUUGAUAGGCUCUACGUGUAAGCGCCGUAAGGCGUUGAGCGGAGGAGUACUAAUUCGCCCAUCUUCUGCGGGGA
rnacentral:rRNA from 1 species